rnacentral:rRNA from 1 species
UACGUAGGGUGCAAGCGUUAAUCGGAAUUACUGGGCGUAAAGCGUGCGCAGGCGGCUCCGCAAGUCAGAUGUGAAAUCCCCGGGCUUAACCUGGGAAUUGCAUUUGAAACUAUGGAGCUGGAGUGUGUCAGAGGGGGGUAGAAUUCCACGUGUAGCAGUGAAAUGCGUAGAGAUGUGGAGGAAUACCGAUGGCGAAGGCAGCCCCCUGGGAUGACACUGACGCUCAUGCACGAAAGCGUGGGGAGCAAACAGG